UACGGAGGAGGCAAGCGUUAUCCGGGAUUAUUGGGCGUAAAGCGUCCGUAGGUGGUGGGCCAAGUCUGCUGUCAAAGGGUGGGGCUUAACCUCAUAAAGGCAGUGGAAACUGGCGAGCUAGAGUGCGGUAGGGGUAGGGGGAAUUCCCGGUGUAGCGGUGAAAUGCGUAGAGAUUGGGAAGAACAUCGGUGGCGAAAGCGCCCUGCUGGGCCUGCACUGACACUGAGGGACGAAAGCUAGGGGAGCGAAAGGG
rnacentral:rRNA from 1 species